AGGAAUGUAUAGCGACAGCUACUUACAUUAUAGUAAUAAUGAUGUAAGAUCGACGGAGUCGAAUAAAGUUCUAGGUAGAAUUUUGAUAAUGACAUUAUAUGCCUAUGUGUCUUGACCAAUUACGUGCCAGCAGUCGCGGUAAUACGUAUAAGGCUAGCGUUAUUCAUGUUUAAUCGGUUUAAAGGGUACCUAGACGGCAGAUCAAGCUUAUGAAAAAAAGGACUAAUCUGCUAGAGUUACUACUGAGGGGGCUAUAAAGUACUGCUGGUGUAGGGAUGAAAUAUUUUGAUACCUGAAAAUUAUGGCACAGGUAUAGGCGAAGGCAUCCCCUUAUGAGAUAACUGACGUUGAGGGACGAAGGCUUCGGACCACGAACAGGAUUAGAGACCCUGGUAGUUGAAGCAGUAAACGCUGAAUGUCAUAGAUUAGAUAUAUAAGUUUCUUCUAUAAAUGAAAGUGUAAGCAUUCCACCUCAAGAGUAAUUUGGCAACAUUGGAACUGAAAUCAUUAGACCGCUUCUGAAAUUAGUAGUGAAGUAUGUUGUUUAAUUUGAUAAUCCGCAAAGAACCUUACCACAAUUUGAAUAUUUAGAUUGUUUAUUGUUAUCUCAUUAGUUUCCUUUUUUAUAUGAAGUAAAACUAAUGUUGAAGUAAUAACAUAUAUUUACAAGCGUUGCACGGCUGUCGUCAGUUGAUGUCGCGAGACUGUGGUUUACUCCACCAAUCAACGUAAACCCUUGCUUUAUUUUUAGAUAAAGCAGAUAAUUACCGAUAUGGUGAUGAU
rnacentral:rRNA from 1 species